rnacentral:tRNA from 1 species
GGGCCGCUAGCUCAAUUGGCAGAGCAGCGGACUUUUAAUCCGCGGGUUCAGGGUUCGAUCCCCUGGCGGCCCA